CCGGCGGUGGGGCCAGAGGGGCUGUCCCUCGUGCUUGUUGGAGGGUCCCAUGGGGAGCAGACCCCUGAAACCCCGAGUCCAAGCACAGGCUCCCGUGGGGCUCCUGGCGGGGCGAGGUCACAGGGGCCUGAUGAAGAGUUAGGGGCCUGUGAGCCCGUGUGCCGCACGCCUGCCCACACGCCCACACACACGCACAUGCACACACACGCACCUCGCCUUCCUCUGGGCCCUGCCAGCUCUCUGCGGACUGUCUCUCUUCCGGAGCCUGUGUCCUGUGCCGGGGGAGUUGGGAUGUCUGCAGGGAGGGCCCUCAGCAGGAAGUCCACACGGACCGGACGGGCCUCCCGGAAGCACCUGGAUGGUGUGUCAGCACAGAGGAGACGAGGGGACUCUGCGAGCCUGGUGCUGAGUUCCCUGGAACCUUCACCUGCCCUUUCUGGGGCAGGUGACCUUUGCUGGGGCUUCCCUUCCUUGAGAGCCACCGCGGGGGCUCCCUGUGUGGGCUGGGCAUGGACGGCCACUUCUACCCCUCCUGGGAGGAUGCUGGGGCCACGGCCCUGGGUCUGAGUGAGCUGCUGAGCCCCAUCACUGGCCAGAAGCCGCUGGGCUCCAGCUCCCGGUUUCCUCUUGUGCCCUGCCACCCAGGGAGACCCCCAGCAAGCAGGUGUCAGCCAUGCCAGGGUUGGGGGAGGACUGACAGCCCCAAGGGCUGCGUCCAGCUUCUGUGUCUGCUGGCAGGAGCAGACAGGGCACCUGGGCCUCUCCAGCAGCAUUGCCACAUGGCCUUGUCCCUGUCCUGGGAGAAGGCGGAGGGUCUGGGGCGCUGGAUCCUUACACAACCUGGUGUGUAACAGAAAGGCCCGGUGUGUAAGCAAAAGCUGUUGAUCGCAUAGCCAUGGUAGGUAAUCCACAUUGGAUGUCAAUAAGGACCAUGGGGAAAUAUUUAAAAAAGAGAGAAAAGUAUAUAUAUAUAUAUAUAAAAUUAUAUACACAUUUUAUCGUACAGACUUUUCGUAACUCUUUUCCUGUUGGGUACUGUCAGCCUCUUAGAGCAGAGCAGCCGUCGAGGGCAGGGCAGUGGGAACCUGUCGCCACCCCGCCUGGCUCCUCAGGCACCAGCUCGCAGCCCGAGGUGGGAGGCCCGGUCGCCUCCCGCUGCCCUUGGUCUCCCCUCCUGCCCAUCUGACUUGGGUCCCGCAGAUGGCCUGGGCACCUGGGCGCACCCCCUGCCCACCCUGGCCGGCUGUCCUGCCCAGUGGCCGCCCCGGGUUCACAGAGCGCCCCGUCCCGUGGGGUGCAGGUGGGCGAGUGCUGGCUGGGGCCUCGGAGGAGCUGUCCCCGCAGCUGCCCAUUGCCCUCCCGGGAUCAGGGGCCAGGGAAGGAAGACUGGCUCGCUCCCUCCUGCUUUUCUUUUUGGAUCAUUGAGAUGUCAUUGUCACAAUUUUAAUAUAUGGGUUUUUUAUUUAAGACAAAAGGCAGGGACGUCUUUGUGGCGUGGGUUUGUCCUCCUGUGCUUCUGACUCACGAGUCCCUGACACCCGCAGGGCCUGGCCCCCCGGGGGACGGGGCCUCCCCUUCGUAAGCUCGGCACCCACCGGUUUUCCCCGCCUCUGCCUGCCCAGCAGUUUCAUUUCAAUAUUUAUUUUUGUGCUGCUUUUAUCAUGAUAUAAAUUAUUGAGAAGAGACCUUAUGUCGUGGCCCACACCUGCCCUGUCCCCUCACGGCCACCACCUAAUUUAUUGCUGUACAUCUCUGCUGUGACGCUUUUGUACCUUUGCAAUAAAGACUUUUCUGGUUUCA
ensembl:lncRNA